rnacentral:rRNA from 1 species
AGAGUUUGAUCCUGGCUCAGGAUGAACGCUAGCGGCAGGCUUAACACAUGCAAGUCGAGGGGCAGCGGGGGUAGCAAUACCCGCCGGCGACCGGCGGAAGGGUGCGUAACGCGUGAGCAACAUUCCCGUAUCAGGGGGAUAACAGAUGGAAACGUCUCCUAAUACCCCAUAACAGAUCCGUUCGCAUGUUCGGAUCUUGAAAGCUACGGUGGAUACGGAUUGGCUCGCGUGACAUUAGCUAGUUGGAGUGGUAACGGCACACCAAGGCAACGAUGUCUAGGGGUUCUGAGAGGAAGGUCCCCCACACUGGAACUGAGACACGGUCCAGACUCCUACGGGAGGCAGCAGUGAGGAAUAUUGGUCAAUGGGCGGAAGCCUGAACCAGCCAUGCCGCGUGCAGGAAUAAGGUCCUAUGGAUUGUAAACUGCUUUUGCCGGAGAGCAAUAAGGCAUACGUGUAUGUCGAUGAGAGUAUCCGACGAAUAAGCAUCGGCUAACUCCGUGCCAGCAGCCGCGGUAAUACGGAGGAUGCGAGCGUUAUCCGGAUUUAUUGGGUUUAAAGGGUGCGUAGGCGGUUUGUUAAGUCAGUGGUGAAAGCGUGUAGCUCAACUAUACCAAGCCAUUGAUACUGGCGAACUUGAGUGUAAACGAGGUAGGCGGAAUAUGACGUGUAGCGGUGAAAUGCUUAGAUAUGUCAUAGAACCCCGAUUGCGAAGGCAGCUUACCAGCAUACAACUGACGGUGAGGCACGAAAGCGUGGGUAUCAACAGGGAUUAGAUACCCUGGUAGUCCACGCAGUAAACGAUGAAUACUAGCUGUUGGCGAUAUAUGGUCAGCGGUACAGCGAAAGUGUUAAGUAUUCCACCUGGGGAGUACGCCGGCAACGGUGAAACUCAAAGGAAUUGACGGGGGCCCGCACAAGCGGAGGAACAUGUGGUUUAAUUCGAUGAUACGCGAGGAACCUUACCCGGGCUCGAACGGCAGAUGAAUCACUCAGAGAUGGGUGAGUCUUCGGACAUCUGUCGAGGUGCUGCAUGGUUGUCGUCAGCUCGUGCCGUGAGGUGUCGGCUCAAGUGCCAUAACGAGCGCAACCCUUGCCGUCAGUUACCAGCACGUCAUGGUGGGGACUCUGGCGGGACUGCCACCGCAAGGUGUGAGGAAGGGGGGGAUGACGUCAAAUCAGCACGGCCCUUACGUCCGGGGCGACACACGUGUUACAAUGGUGGGUACAGAGGGGUGCUACCUGGUGACAGGAUGCUGAUCUCGAAAGCCCAUCUCAGUUCGGACUGGAGUCUGCAACCCGACUCCACGAAGCUGGAUUCGCUAGUAAUCGCGCAUCAGCCAUGGCGCGGUGAAUACAAUCCCGGGCCUUGCACACACCGCCCGUCAAG